AGAGUUUGAUCCUGGCUCAGAAUGAACGCUGGCGGCGUGCUUAACACAUGCAAGUCGCACGAGAAAGUUUCAGCUUGCUGAGACGAGUAAAGUGGCGCACGGGUGAGUAACACGUGGGUAACCUGCCCCCGAAUUCGGGAUAACGUUGCGAAAGCGGCGCUAAUACCGAAUGAUGUCCGCGAAUCUUCGGGUUUGCGGAUGAAAGAUGACCUCUACGUGUAAGUUGUUGUUUGGGGAUGGGCCCGCGCACCAUUAGCUUGUUGGUAGGGUAACGGCCUACCAAGGCUACGAUGGUUAGCUGGUCUGAGAGGAUGAUCAGCCACACUGGAACUGGAACACGGUCAAGACUCCUACGGGAGGCAGCAGUGGGGAAUAUUGCGCAAUGGGGGAAACCCUGACGCAGCCACGCCGCGUGAGUGAUGAAGGCCUUCGGGUCGUAAAGCUCUGUCAGAUGGAAAGAAAGCCUUUUUGGCGAAUAACCAUAAGGUUUGACGGUACCAUCAAAGGAAGCACCGGCUAACUCCGUGCCAGCAGCCGCGGUAAUACGGAGGGUGCAAGCGUUGAUCGGAAUUACUGGGCGUAAAGGGCGUGUAGGCGGUUUGACAAGUCAGAUGUGAAAUCCCAGGGCUUAACNUUGGAAGUGCAUUUGAAACUACUUGGCUUGAGUACGGGGAGAGGAGUGUGGAAUUCCCGGUGUAGAGGUGAAAUUCAUAGAUAUCGGGAGGAACACCAGUGGGGAAGGCGGCACUCUGGACCGAUACUGACGCUGAUGCGCGAAAGCGUGGGUAGCAAACAGGAUUAGAGACCCUGGUAGUCCACGCCGUAAACGUUGUGCACUAGGUGUAGAGGGUAUCGACCCCUUCUGUGCCGCAGCUAACGCAUUAAGUGCACCGCCUGGGGAGUACGGUCGCAAGAUUAAAACUCAAAGGAAUUGACGGGGGCCCGCACAAGCGGUGGAGCAUGUGGUUUAAUUCGACGCAACGCGAAGAACCUUACCUGGACUUGACAUCUCCGGAAUCCUCUGGAAACAGAGGAGUGCCUCGUAAGGGGAGCCGGAUGACAGGUGCUGCAUGGCUGUCGUCAGCUCGUGUCGUGAGAUGUUGGGUUAAGUCCCGCAACGAGCGCAACCCUCAUCUCUAGUUGCCACCAUUUAGUUGGGCACUCUAGAGAAACUCCUCCGGUCAACGGGGAGGAAGGUGGGGAUGACGUCAAGUCCUCAUGGCCUUUAUGUCCAGGGCUACACACGUGCUACAAUGGCAGGUACAAAGGGCAGCUAACCUGCGAGGGUACGCAAAUCCCAAAAAGCCUGUCCCAGUUCGGAUUGGAGUCUGCAACUCGACUCCAUGAAGUUGGAAUCGCUAGUAAUCGUGGAUCAGCAUGCCACGGUGAAUACGUUCCCGGGCCUUGUACACACCGCCCGUCACACCACGAAAGUUGAUUGCACCAGAAAUCGCUGGGCUAACCGCAAGGAGGCAGGCGCCUAAGGUGUGAUUAAUGAUUGGGGUGAAGUCGUAACAAGGUA
rnacentral:rRNA from 1 species